CUGUUUAACAAAAACAUUUCUUUUAGAUUAUAUUAAAGGUAUAUUCUGCUCUAUGAAAUUUAAAUGGCUGCAGUAUUUUAACUGUACAAAGGUAGCAUAAUAAUUAGUCUUUUAAUUAAGGGCUGGUAUGAAUGAAUGAAUAAGGGAUUUAUUUUAAUUUAAUUAAUUAUUAAAAUUUUAUUUUUUGGUAAAAAAUCUAAAUUAAUUAAUUGGGACGAAAAGACCCUACAGAACUUUAUUGUGAUUACUUAUUUAAAUUUAAUUUUAUUUUAAAAAAGUUUUUAAUAAUUUUAUUGGGGUGAUAAUUAAAUUUAAUCUUUAUUUUUGUAAAUCUUUAAUUUAAGAAAUUUUGAUUAAUUUGUUUUAUUUAAGUUAAAGUUACCUUAGGGAUAACAGCGUAAUUUAAAUGGGGAGUUCAUAUCUAUAUUUAAGUUUGCGACCUCGAUGUUGAAUUAAGAAUAAAUUUUGGGGUAGAUUUUGAUUAUUUAAGUCUGUUCGACUUUUAAAUUCUUACUUGAUCUGAGUUCAGACCGG
rnacentral:rRNA from 1 species